rnacentral:lncRNA from 1 species
GCCCGGUCGUGAGUCAGCGCCGGCCACGCCCCCUUGUGGUUGGCCACGCCCACCCGGCCGGGCUGUGACUCACCGGAAGUGAAUCAGAGGGUGCGGACGGCGCGCGGACGGCGGGCACCGAUAUGCGCCACUAUGCACCAGUAUGCACCAGUAUAGACCAGUAUGGGCACCGCUAUGCGCCACUAUACACCAGUAUGCACCAGUAUGCACCAGUAUGGGCACCGCUGCACCAGUAUGGGCACCGCUAUGCGCCACUGUACACCAGUAUGCACCAGUAUGCACCAGUAUGGGCACCGCUAUGCGCCACUGUACACCAGUAUGCACCAGUAUGCACCAGUAUGGACCAGUAUGCACCAGUAUGGACCAGUAUGGGCACCGCUAUGCGCCACUAUGCACCAGUAUGGACCAGUAUGCACCAGUAUGCACCAGUAUGGGCACCGCUAUGCGCCACUAUACACCAGUAUGCACCAGUAUAGACCAGUAUGGGCACCGCUAUGCGCCACUGUACACCAGUAUGGACCAGU